rnacentral:sRNA from 1 species
CUACGACAGCGCCGCGGGGCCCAGGCCGGGAGCCGACCGGCACAGCAGGAACGAGCAUCCGGCACCCUUGUGCAUGUACCCUACAAUGACUGCCAGGCUUGGAUGGAUGUCCCCACUCCUGACUUGGUCUGCCCUGACACCACCUGGGCAAUGGGGAGAGUGUCUUCCUACGGCUGGGGAGUGUGGGAGUCCAGGCUUCACGCACUCUUUGCUGUUCAAUGUAGGUACCAGCUGGAGGAUGAGUCUGCGCAUUUGGAUGAAAUGCCACUAAUGAUGUCUGAAGAAGGCUUUGAGAAUGAGGAAAGUGAUUACCACACCUUACCACGAGCCAGGAUAAUGCAAAGGAAAAGAGGACUGGAGUGGUUUGUCUGUGAUGGCUGGAAGUUCCUCUGUACCAGGGAUUUGUCUUGGCUGUUACUAUGACACGGGAAGCAAUUGAUGAAUUUCGGCGUUUUCAGCGUGACAAGGAAGUGAAUUCACAACUAUAUAGCAAGCUUACAGUAAGAGGUAAAGUGCAAGUUAAGAGUUCAGACAUACAAGUUGGAGACCUCAUCAUAGUGGAAAA